rnacentral:rRNA from 1 species
AAUAGAUACCCUGGUAGUCCACGCCGUAAACGAUGAGUGCUAAGUGUUGGGGGUUUCCGCCCCUCAGUGCUGCAGCUAACGCAUUAAGCACUCCGCCUGGGGAGUACGGUCGCAAGACUGAAACUCAAAGGAAUUGACGGGGGCCCGCACAAGCGGUGGAGCAUGUGGUUUAAUUCGAAGCAACGCGAAGAACCUUACCAGGUCUUGACAUCCCGGUGACCACUAUGGAGACAUAGUUUCCCCUUCGGGGGCAACGGUGACAGGUGGUGCAUGGUUGUCGUCAGCUCGUGUCGUGAGAUGUUGGGCUAAGUCCCGCAACGAGCGCAACCCUUAUUCUUAGUUGCCAUCAUUCAGUUGGGCACUCUAAGGAGACUGCCGGUGAUAAACCGGAGGAAGGUGGGGAUGACGUCAAAUCAUCAUGCCCCUUAUGACCUGGGCUACACACGUGCUACAAUGGACGGUACAAACGGUUGCCAACCCGCGAGGGGGAGCUAAUCCGAUAAAACCGUUCUCAGUUCGGAUUGUAGGCUGCAACUCGCCUAC